UGGAAAAAACUUAACAGAACAAGCUGAAGACUCCCACUGAGAAUAUUGAAAGCUGGUGGGACCCAGUCGCCUGUUCUGGAGGCCAGCUCUGAGGCUGCAUGACCAUGGAAGCAGAACUCCUGGAGCUGCUGCACUCUGACACACCUGACUUGUUAUGGCCUUCAGAUUGUCAGUGUAUAUUUUAUUAUUGCUGAACUGUAUUAAAUGUAAGAGGUUUGCUUGUUAUUAGAAACACAGGGUUUUUUCUUGGUUCUUUGUAUUUCCUGACAACUCUCCCAACUGGAUUGUCUGGGGACCUGCAUUACAGUUUGAAAACAGUG
rnacentral:lncRNA from 1 species